rnacentral:rRNA from 1 species
AUGGAGGAUGUCGAAGGGUUGAUGAGAGGUUUGAAACUUUCGGUAGCGGAGAGAAGGGGAAUGAAGGUCGGACAGGCAAAGAAGGGGAAGGCGUAUGACUGGGCACCUGAUGAUCCCCAGGCGGUGGGGAAGCUGUUCUCGGAGAAGCUAGCACAUGUAGGAGUGGUAGGGCAAACACUGGGUAGAAUCUGGUGCCCCAUCAAAGGCCUGCAGUGCAAAGAACUGGAGUCCAACAUCUUCUUGUUUACCUUUCGGCAGGCGUCGGGGUGGAGGCGUGAUCUUGAGGAGGGACCCUGGUGGUUUGACAAGGAACUGCUCAUCAUGGAAGAAUUUGAUCCGGAAAAGACAGUGGAUGAGUAUGAAUUUAAGCUUAUCCCCUUGUGGAUCCGUGUCUUUGGGCUGCCUCUUGGUUAUAUGAAUAGACUCACAGGAGAA